AUUGUAGCGCCCCCUUUUUAUAAGGUAUGAAGGGGCAUAUGAAACAACAGAUGGCACUAAGGAUUUUUAGAGGAGCAGCCCAGAAGGACUCUUCCUUCCGGGCGCCAAGUAAUAAAGGGCAUUGGUUUUAUUUGGCAUAGAGAAAAUGGCAUGGAGGUGUUUGAUGAAAGAAUAAUACCCAAUAAAUCAAUCAAAAUUUAUGUUUUGAUGGAUUAUUCUUUUAAUCUUUCUAACUCAUGUAAUUGACA
rnacentral:lncRNA from 1 species